UGUGACGUCAAACGUUCUAGUGGACGGCUACUGGACGGCAAGAGUGCCGCAUUGAUGAAUGGAUUCCUAUGGGACUCGCAACGUUUAGUAACUCAUAACGUAACUUAGAUCGCCGAUAAACUAAACACCGUGAACACCCAUUGUGCUGUUUGUUACAAAAACAGAUAGGGUUACAACCCAGGCGUGACUUUUCACUGGAUCUCAAAAUAAAACGAGAAAGCUGAGGUGAAUCGCGGCAACCAACUGGAAAACCAUCAAACUAGCCUACUCAAGUAGCUGGAUGAGCACCACGAUGAGAAGAGCGAUGAUCUGAUGUCAUGACACAUUGGAUGUAUGGAAGAGCCAGAGGUCCAGCACACCAAGUCAAGUUUAGCCGAUUUCAACCUCUUAAUCACACCAACUCAAUGUAGUAAUCAGUUCAUUCAA